rnacentral:rRNA from 1 species
CGGGGGGUGCGAGCGUUGUCCGGAAUCACUGGGCGUAAAGGGCGCGUAGGUGGUCUGAUAAGGGUGUGGUGAAAGCCCGGGGCUCAACCCCGGGUCGGCCGUGCCGACUGUUGGACUAGAGUGCUGUAGGGGCAGGCGGAAUUCCGGGUGUAGCGGUGGAAUGCGUAGAGAUCCGGAGGAAGACCGGUGGCGAAGGCGGCCUGCUGGGCAGUUACUGACACUGAGGCGCGACAGCGUGGGGAGCGAACAGGAUUAGAUACCCUGGUAGUCCACGCCGUAAACGAUGGGUACUAGGUGCCUGGGGGAGCGACCCCUUGGGUGCCGGCGCUAACGCAGGAAGUACCCCGCCUGGGGAGUACGACCGCAAGGUUG